GCGAUAGCUCUGUCGGUAGAGCAGGAGGCUCUCAAUCUCAGGGCGUGGGUUUGAGCCCCAUGUUAGGCA